rnacentral:rRNA from 1 species
CCUACGGGAGGCAGCAGUAAGGAAUAUUGGUCAAUGGACGAGAGUCUGAACCAGCCAAGUAGCGUGAAGGAUGACUGCCCUAUGGGUUGUAAACUUCUUUUAUAUGGGAAUAAAACGUUCCACGUGUGGGAUUUUGUAUGUACCAUAUGAAUAAGGAUCGGCUAACUCCGUGCCAGCAGCCGCGGUAAUACGGAGGAUCCGAGCGUUAUCCGGAUUUAUUGGGUUUAAAGGGAGCGUAGGUGGAUUGUUAAGUCAGUUGUGAAAGUUUGCGGCUCAACCGUAAAAUUGCAGUUGAAACUGGCAGUCUUGAGUACAGUAGAGGUGGGCGGAAUUCGUGGUGUAGCGGUGAAAUGCUUAGAUAUCACGAAGAACUCCGAUUGCGAAGGCAGUUCACUGGACUGCAACUGACACUGAGGCUCGAAAGUGUGGGUAUCAAACAGGAUUAGAUACCCGUGUAGUC